ACAGUGUACAGUAGAUGUGGUUCUGCUAUAUUAACAUGUUAGAAAUAAAACUUCUAGCUAUUUAUGUGGUGAUCAAAGAAGCAGCUAAAAGAUGCAAAAAAUAUUUUGAAUAUUCAAAAAUGAUCAGCAAAUGUUUAGAAGAAACAUCAGGCAAUAAGAAACAACAGGAUUAGAAUGUGAUGCUUGUUGCAUUGUUGUUUACCACCAUUAUUUGAAAAGAAAUAAGAUUUAUUGUUUCCCUAACCAAAAUACUCAUUGUUGAAUUCCUAAAAGUACUGUCCCACACGUGCCAAUUUUGUGCUUUGGUGGUAAAGAAAAAGUGCCGACAUGUUAGUAAAUGAGACAAUCAACUUUUGCACUUAUGUUUAUAUGACUUUUUCUGUUUAAAUGUUUAUAAUUAAUUUUUUUUUUUUUUUUGUCACUUUGUCAACUCAAAUAAACUUAUCUGAAUAUAUGCAAUAUUUUUAAUAUUAAAUUUAAAACUAGCUUUAACUUAAUAGUUCUUAAAAACUUUAUAGUGUCUAAUUUUUGUUUAGUUUUUAUUAGUUUCAAAGUUAUAUUGUUUUUCAAUUUGUUACGAUUUAUACUGUAGAACAUUACUUUAUUGUUGAACAACAUUUAUGAUAUCCUUUUUUUGA